GAAAUGCGAUAAGUAAUGUGAAUUGCAGAAUUCAGUGAAUCAUCGAAUCUUUGAACGCACAUUGCGCCCGCCAGUAUUCUGGCGGGCAUGCCUGUUCGAGCGUCAUUACAACCCUCAGGCCCCCGGGCCUGGCGUUGGGGAUCGGCGGAAGCCCCCUGCGGGCACAACGCCGUCCCCCAAAUACAGUGGCGGUCCCGCCGCAGCUUCCAUUGCGUAGUAGCUAACACCUCGCAACUGGAGAGCGGCGCGGCCACGCCGUAAAACACCCAACUUCUGAAUGUUGACCUCGAAUCAGCUAGGAAUACCCGCUGAACUUAAGC
rnacentral:misc_RNA from 1 species